rnacentral:lncRNA from 1 species
UUUCAUGUGAUGUAACAACAGGACAGCUAGCGUGGCCUGAGCCCCCAUCCAUGCCAAGAACAUCUCGUUGAACCCUUCCAACAGCCGUAAGAGCAGUCAAGCACUGGGAAGCAUCACCCCCGGAGUCUCCUCCAGCCGCCCUCAGACUCCACGAACAGCAUCGGGAAGAUCCUGACUCCCGCCACCCACCCCCAGCCUCCUCCUGAGCCCUCGUGGUGGCUGCUGUGACGCAUCGCCCAGAGCCCCCUUCAGAAAUGGAGGACGUGCCCCCUGGCUGCAGAAGAGCUGCAGACACACAGCCCUCACCUGUCAUCCCGCUUCCAGAGAUUGCCCAGCUGGGGGAGCCGCCUCACCCACGACCACACCCCCUCCCCGGGGCGGUCCGCCGCCAGUGAUCCACACAGGAGUAAGAUUGCCAUCCGUAUUUUAUCGCUGAGACCGCUAAGGAGCAGAAAAGGUCAGCCUGCGCCUGAGUCACCCGGGGAGGUCACGGUUUGUGCUGAGGUUCCUAGCUGAUGUUGCUGCUGGUGGUCACUGGGAGCCCGCAGCCUAGAAACCCUUCCUUGUGUUCAGGAGACGGACCCAGGCCCGUAGGAAGAGCCGGCCCACCAGGAUGCAGGCCCCCAGGGCGAUGGCGACGACGGGCCAGGAGCCGUUUCAACCCUUCACGUGCCCCCACCCACCGGAUCCACAGAGCAGCUCCGUGAGACACCUCUCAGCCUGGGCCUCCCAGGGUUGGGACCCUGCCGUGGAGAGACUGGUCAUGGCCGGUGUUCUGGAUGCUUCCUCUUCUGUGUUGUGCUUCUGCACCUGCUGGCCUCCGCCUCGCCUCUGCUGGCUUCCUUAGGGCUGGAGCGGAGCAAGGCGGGAGAGGCACGGGUGAAGACCUGCCAGGACUCUCGGUGGAGUCAUCUCACUCUAAGCUGGCUCUCCAGGUGGAGGCCCUUUCAAUAUAACUUCCUGCUGGAGAGGAGGACCCACAUCCGGCCGGGAGAAGCCCACGUCUUCGCCCCGCACUCAUGGCGAUGGACAGAGGGGAGCCAGGUGGCACUUUUUGGGUCACCCUUAGGACAGCCUUCUGAGGUGACCCGCCAUGUCUCUGCAGUGUGUGGACCUGACCACCCUCUGUUCAGCUUUGUGACGGCAGGAGACAGUGUUCAAAUGCGGCCGCCAAUGAUUCUUCCCUUCCAAGAGUGCACAUGCCGCUCUUCCCGCCAGAAGGCGGAGUUUCUCCCCCUCCCGUCACACUGGGGCUGGCCUGCUUUGGGCCAUAGAGUGUGGAGGAGGUGACGCCAUGCUGGUGCCGGGCCUGGCCCUUGAGAGUCCCUUUCGCCCCCCUGGAACCCUGUCGCUGAGCUGUGAGGAGGUCCUGGCUGUGCUGCUGGAGAAGGAGGCUGUGC